GUGAAUCAUCGAAUUUUUGAACGCAAAUUGCACUCUCUUCGGAGAGUAUGCCUGUUUGAGGGUCAGUAUUAACAAAAAAUCGGUUUGGUUUCAAGUUGUGACGGUUCCGGAGUUUGGGCUUAUCUUAACUUUUUUGGUUAAGGGUCUUAAAAUUGACCUUUUUUUCUCAUUUUUAGACUGACAUAAAUUUUUUUUUAUUCUUCUAUUCUUAAUUCCAAAAUCUUAGUAUGUGCUAUCA
rnacentral:misc_RNA from 1 species